CAGCCGCCGCGGGAACACCGGCAGCUCUAGUGGUAACAAUUUUAUGGGCCUAAAGCGUCCGUAGCCGGUUUAAUAAGUCUCUGGUGAAAUCCUGCAGCUUAACUGUGGGAAUUGCUGGAGAUACUAUUAGACUUGAGACCGGGAGAGGUUAGAGGUACUCCCAGGGUAGAGGUGAAAUUCUGUAAUCCUGGGAGGACCGCCUGUUGCGAAGGCGUCUAACUGGAACGGUUCUGACGGUGAGGGACGAAAGUUAGGGGCGCGAACCGGAUUAGAUACCCGGGUAGUCCUAACUGUAAACGAUGCGGACUUGGUGUUGGGUGGCUUUGAGCUGCUUCAGUGCCGAAGGGAAGCUGUUAAGUCCGCCGCCUGGGAAGUACGGUCGCAAGACUGAAACUUAAGGGAAUUGGCGGGGGAGCACCACAACGCGUGGAGCCUGCCGGUUUAAUUGGAUUCAACGCCGGACAUCUCACCAGAGGCGACAGCUGUAUGAUAGCCAGGUUGAUGACUUUGCUUGACUAGCUGAGAGGAGGUGCAUGG
rnacentral:rRNA from 1 species